rnacentral:rRNA from 1 species
UACAGAGGGUGCAAGCGUUAUCCGGAUUUAUUGGGCGUAAAGCGUUUCGUAGGCGGCAGGAAAAGUUAUUUUUCAAAGACCACGGCUUAACCGGGGGAAGGGAGGUAAUACUGACCUGCUUGAUUUUUGGUGGGGCAUCUGGAACUGAUGGUGUAGUAGUGAAAUACGUUGAUAUCAUCAGGAACUCCAAGGGCGAAGGCAGGAUGCUAACCAAUUAAUGACGCUGAGGAACGACAGCUAGGGGAGCGAAAGGG